AUGACUAUCGUCUCUCUGUCUGGGAGGUUGAAGAAAGGAGACGCAUGGCCUUCACACCCUGGCACAUGUUUCACUGACCCCACAGGCUGCUGUAUCAAUCCUCUCCAAAACUCACCCUCCACAAACCAUAAUAUUUUUCCCCAGAUUAGUGAGGGCAGGCUGGAAGACCCUCACACUGCCCCGGUCCGCUCUAGAGACAGCGACUCCACCUGUCAGAGUUCAAGAGUUAAUGCCAAGAGCUUAGAGGCUGUUUCCAUAACGACUUGAAUGUAACUUUUGCUUUCUCUGCCACAUAGGGCUGUUACAUGUGUUGAAAAUAUCAUUCAACAGCCUGGAAGCUUGAUGUAUUACCAGAAAGUGAGAGGACUGAUGACCAGCCAGAAAAAACAUCACGCUAAAGUUGUGUUAAGAUAAUACAAUAAAUGACAUUGAUUGACUGAUGCUCUGUAUUUUUUAUAGUUACAUUUUUUAUAGUUACAUAAUAUAAAUAUUUUCUUUCAUUAUAAAUGUCUUUUACUGUCAUUUUUUUAUAAAUUAUAAAAAAAUAAUGACAAAAUUUAAUCAUAUAUAUUUUUUUUUUUUUCCCAGAAACUCAAUUUGCAUAUCCUUUUAAUAUUUUAGUUUUUUGUUAACGUUAAUUCAGUUGUCAAUGCUUUACUGAAAAGUGUACAAACAUUUUAUCAAUAGUUUUCAAUAAUAAUUCUGAACAGCACAUUAUUAGUGAAAGUCUUUUGCUCAAAACUAGAACAAUUAAAAGCCUUUUUUACACACGGUAGUGAAGCAGAGGUUUGUGAUUCUCUUUGUGAAAAGCCCAGGCUCUUUUCAUCCAGCCUUUCCAUCCCCUCAGAGGUUUCACUGCAUAUCAUACGCUGGACAAGCUAAACUGGCAAUACCAAUAAAGAUUAAGUGGACCAUCUCUUAAAUCUCUCUCACAGCACAAACAACUGUUGCACCGGCUCCACGCUCUCACUGUUCGCCUGCAGUCAGGAGUCCACAGGGAUGCUCCUGAAUGCCAUGGACUUGUAAGGUUUUCUUUCACAGUAUCGGACUCCUCAUUUGGCAGUCCAGUGCUUCCCAGACUGCACCUCAGAUGCCCAAUUAGCCUGAAAAACAAUAGCUCCCUGAUCAUCAUCCCAUUGUGCUCCCUGGCAUUGUCCCUGCGGCUCCUGUUACAGCCUGACAGUAAACAAGAGGCUAAAUUAGACGUGCAGUUGUUGCUAUUGUCCCGCUCUCCUUGACACCCAAACCCCUC
ensembl:lncRNA